UUUGGAGCUGUUGGGCCCCACCAUGGUGACCACAACAGGAGGGGUUUUUUUUCCCCUCCUGUGCAUCGAUGUUUCAACAGCAGCCCCUCCUGGGCUCCCCAGGGGCAGCUUUCGCAGAGGGGAGCCAAGAGGAGCCUUGCCAAGUCUGAUCUCCGCUGGAAAGCCGCUGAGGAAGGAGGAUACGAGGCUGCCUUUCUCCUGCUGCUACCUGUUGCUCUGAAGGGAUCCAG